rnacentral:tRNA from 1 species
GGGGAUUUAGCUCAGUGGUAAAGCACUUGCCUAGCAAGUGCAAGGACCUGGGUUCAGUCCCCA